AUUGUAAAUAAUAUAUCUUAUUAAAAUCAGAAUAUGAAGGAUAAUCAGGUAAUUUUCCAGCAGUAUAUCAUUACAUCGAUAAGUAUCGAAUAUCGUGUUUAUUCCUGUUUUCGCGAGUUUUAUCCCGAUUAUCGCAGAAAAUUCCGCUUUCGAGCAUUGCGAGCAGCGCAUGGACAACCUUCGUCGAGUAACAAAGGAAAGAUAACGAAUAAUAGCGGUAAUACAUUGUAAACGAGGAUUGGAAGAACGUUCAAUCGUUCAUUAACGACGAGAGACUCUUGGUUUUGACUGAGGAAAAAAAGAAAAAAAAAAAAAGAAGAAGAACGAUUCUACAGCAUUGUGGUCCAUUGUAACGUGUAAGUCAGGUGCGACGUCUAUGUGUGCGCUAGAUGUCCUUGACAUCCGCGGCCUUGUCAAGAAUUUUUCCGCAUUCGAUUGUUGUUCCAAGCACGCUCCACGAACUGCAAAUCGCGAGAAGAAGGGGGGGGGGGGAGUUAUACGCGGAACAGAGAUAGAGAGAUGGAAGGCGGAAGGCUGGAAGAGGAUGAGGAGAUCGGUUGUUGAAUGGCGGACGCGACUUCGACCUUCGUCGAGAACUACACGGUAGAAAAUAAAGCAGAUAGAACGUAGAAAAGGCUCGUGAAUAUCGGACACGGAUGGACAAGUAUCGCGUGUAAUCGGACGGCCAUUAAUAUCAGUCCGCCUCGUUGAUAUAAUUUGAUCGGUCGGCGGUCACCGUUUAUCCCGGAAAUGGCUUUCACUUUCUCCCCCACUAGAGGUGGUAACUUUCACUAACGAGGCCUCCGCGAAAACUGGCUCGUGCGCGUACGUAUAGACGAUCGGUGGAGAGGAGAAGAGGGAAAAGAGAGUAUGUGUAUGUGUGUGUGAGAGAGAGAGAAAAGGAAAAAGAAGAGGAAGAAAGAAUCGGGUUUCUGGGUCGGUAAAGGCGAACAAAGGCGAUCCUCCUUGUUGUCCCUUCGUCCUCGCUCGCACGGCCUCGUGAAUUUUUGUCGUUCGAUGGAUGGAAGGAAGGAAGGAAGGAAGGAAGGAAGGAAGAAUGGGAUAUUUCGACGAUCGAAAUUUCCCUUCCACUCGGAUGGGAUGGAUGACAUUGAGAACGAUUAGUGUACGAUGUCGUGAAGAAUACCCGUUGUAUUAUACCUGGAAUGUUUGAAGAUAUAAGCGUUUGAAGCGACCGCUAAAUGUGAAAUUUCAUUGGGAUCAAAAAGUACAACUGAAGUUGCACUAUGAUUUUCAGUUCGAGGAAAUUCAAG